rnacentral:lncRNA from 1 species
GAAAGUUCAGCAGAACAGGUGAAGGUGAUGAUCUCUGUAGUUUCCUGGAUAACUUUUGACAUUCCAGCAAAGGGUAAUUUCUUUGUUGGAAGAAAAUGAUUGGCAUACCACAGGAUAUUUUAGCUCAGCUGGAUUAAUUCUAAUACUAAGGAAAUGGUCAUGCCAUAGAAGCCUGUGGACCAUGAAGGGUAAUUGGAUAACAUCUUUUGAAAGAUUUACA